rnacentral:misc_RNA from 1 species
AAGGAUAAUUACGGAAUAUCACCAAYAGGUGAUAGCGGAUUAACGUGACAUAUUGUAUUCAGUUUUGAAUGCUCAUCCAUUUGAGGAUUCAGAAUGAUUUGUACAUUGAAAACUAGAUAAGUAAGUAUUGAUUUUACCAAGCAAAACCGAGUGACAAGCGUUUAAAAGCUUGAAACAAAAAAUGAAUCGCUAGUCGUUGAAAAACGACUCACAUAAUUAAUAACA